rnacentral:rRNA from 1 species
UUGCGGUACAGGAUGGACCCGCGUCUGAUUAGCUAGUUGGUAAGGUAACGGCUUACCAAGGCGACGAUCAGUAGCCGACCUGAGAGGGUGAUCGGCCACAUUGGAACUGAGACACGGUCCAAACUCCUACGGGAGGCAGCAGUGGGGAAUAUUGCACAAUGGGCGAAAGCCUGAUGCAGCAACGCCGCGUGAGCGAUGAAGGCCUUCGGGUCGUAAAGCUCUGUCCUCAAGGAAGAUAAUGACGGUACUUGAGGAGGAAGCCCCGGCUAACUACGUGCCAGCAGCCGCGGUAAUACGUAGGGGGCUAGCGUUAUCCGGAAUUACUGGGCGUAAAGGGUGCGUAGGUGGUUUCUUAAGUCAGAGGUGAAAGGCUACGGCUCAACCGUAGUAAGCCUUUGAAACUGGGAAACUUGAGUGCAGGAGAGGAGAGUG